rnacentral:rRNA from 1 species
CCUACGGGAGGCAGCAGUGAGGAAUAUUGGUCAAUGGGCGUAAGCCUGAACCAGCCAAGUCGCGUGAGGGAUGAAGGUUCUAUGGAUCGUAAACCUCUUUUAUAAGGGAAUAAAGUGCGGGCCGUGUCCCGUUUUGUAUGUACCUUAUGAAUAAGGAUCGGCUAACUCCGUGCCAGCAGCCGCGGUAAUACGGAGGAUCCGAGCGUUAUCCGGAUUUAUUGGGUUUAAAGGGUGCGUAGGCGGCCUUUAAGUCAGCGGUGAAAGUCUGUGGCUCAACCAUAGAAUUGCCGUUGAAACUGGGAGGCUUGAGUAUGCUUGAGGCAUGCGGAAUGCGUGGUGUAGCGGUGAAAUGCUUAGAUAUCACGCAGAACCCCGAUUGCGAAGGCAGCAUACCGAGCCAUGACUGACGCUGAUGCACGAAAGCGUGGGGAUCGAACAGGAUUAGAUACCCUAGUAGUC